rnacentral:snRNA from 2 species
GUGCUCGCUUCAGCAGCACAUAUACUAAAACUGGAACAAUACAGAGAAGAUUAGCAUGGAC